GAUGAAGAACGUAGCGAAAUGCGAUAAGUAAUGUGAAUUGCAGAAUUCAGUGAAUCAUCGAAUCUUUGAACGCACAUUGCGCCCGCUAGUAUUCUGGCGGGCAUGCCUGUCCGAGCGUCAUUUCAACCCUCAAGCCCCCGGGCUUGGUGUUGGGGAUCGGCGAGCCUCCGCGCCCGCCGUCCCCUAAAUCUAGUGGCGGUCUCGCUGUAGCUUCCUCUGCGUAGUAGCACACCUCGCACUGGGAAACAGCGCGGCCACGCCGUUAAACCCCCAACUUCUGAACGUUUGACCUCGGAUCAGGUAGGAAUACCCGCUGAACUUAAGCAUAUCAAUCAGCGGAGGA
rnacentral:misc_RNA from 1 species